rnacentral:lncRNA from 1 species
CCACCUGCCAUGGGUGUGAGAUAGCAGAAAAGGAAGAGGUUGAAGAACUUGCAGACAAGACAAAAACCAAGGUUUUACAGAGGAAGGAAAACUGAGAUGUGAAGAAAAGCAGAGUUCAUGUUCAACUGCCUGUGGCAAACAUUACACAAGAAAGAUUUAUUAAAGUGGACAGUAAACUAGGAAGUUGUCCUCAGAAAAGAAAUCCAAAUCACAGUUCAUAGCUUAAACAAAUCUGGUGCUGCCCAUGUUACAUAAACUGUGAGUCUGGACAUACGCAGAGCUUGUGGGAAGGAGCGGCAAAUACCAGACUUGCAUUUCAGAGCUACAAAUCAAAACAGGUAGUGACACACAUCUUUAUGAUGACUGAUUAUUUUAUCCUCACAGACACACAGCAGUAGCAGUAAUUCCAGAAUUUAGCUCUGUGAUGUGCAAAAAAAGGAUUAUCUUCUUGUUUGCUUAGAGCUCACUAUCUGAUAAUUUAAUUUGAUACUUCCUAAUUUCUGAAAUAAAAGAACAAAUGUUUCCUUUUCA